CCCUUAGAUGUUCUGGGCCGCACGCGCGCUACACUGACGAAUGCAACGAGCUUAUAACCUUGGCCGAAAGGUCUGGGUAAUCUCCAAAUUUCGUCGUGAUGGGGAUAGAUUAUUGCAAUUAUUAAUCUUCAACGAGGAAUGCCUAGUAAGCGCAAGUCAUCAGCUUGCGUUGAUUACGUCCCUGCCCUGUGUACACACCGCCCGUCGCUCCUACCGAUUGAAUGGUCCGGUGAAGCGCUCGGACCGCGGCCUCUUGACGGUUCGCUGUCGAUUGGCUGUGGGAAGUUCGUUAAACCUUAUCAUUUAGAGGAAGGAGAAGUCGUAACA
rnacentral:rRNA from 1 species